AUCUUCCGCAAUGGGCGAAAGCCUGACGGAGCAACGCCGCGUGAGUGAUGAAGGUUUUCGGAUCGUAAAGCUCUGUUGCCAGGGAAGAACGCCUAGGGGAGUAACUGCCCUUAGGGUGACGGUACCUGAGAAGAAAGCCCCGGCUAACUACGUGCCAGCAGCCGCGGUAAUACGUAGGGGGCAAGCGUUGUCCGGAAUUAUUGGGCGUAAAGCGCGCGCAGGCGGCCAUGUAAGUCUGGUAUUUAAUCCCGGGGCUCAACCCCGGUAGCUACCAGAAACUGUGUGGCUUGAGUGCAGAAGAGGAGAGCGGAAUUCCACGUGUAGCGGUGAAAUGCGUAGAGAUGUGGAGGAACACCAGUGGCGAAGGCGGCUCUCUGGUCUGUAACUGACGCUGAGGCGCGAAAGCGUGGGGAGCAAACAGG
rnacentral:rRNA from 1 species